GAUGAACGCUGGCGGCGUGCCUAAUACAUGCCAGUCGAGCGAACAGACGAGGAGCUUGCUCCUCUGACGUUAGCGGCGGACGGGUGAGUAACACGUGGAUAACCUACCUAUAAGACUGGGAUAACUUCGGGAAACCGGAGCUAAUACCGGAUAACAUGUUGAACCGCAUGGUUCAACAGUGAAAGACGGUCUUGCUGUCACUUAUAGAUGGAUCCGCGCCGCAUUAGCUAGUUGGUAAGGUAACGGCUUACCAAGGCAACGAUGCGUAGCCGACCUGAGAGGGUGAUCGGCCACACUGGAACUGAGGCACGGUCCAGACUCCUACGGGAGGCAGCAGUAGGGAAUCUUCCGCAAUGGGCGAAAGCCUGACGGAGCAACGCCGCGUGAGUGAAGAAGGUCUUCGGAUCGUAAAACUCUGUUAUUAGGGAAGAACAAAUGUGUAAGUAACUAUGCACGUCUUGACGGUACCUAAUCAGAAAGCCACGGCUAACUACGU
rnacentral:rRNA from 1 species